GUGGUUGUUCAGUUAAAAAGUGAAACCGUGUACUAUUCUCCACGACACCCCAGACGACAGUGAUACUGGUGCUCACCGACAGGACCUAAUAAGUUAUUGAGAUCCCUGUGCGAUGGUUCGAGACGAA
rnacentral:scRNA from 1 species